rnacentral:tRNA from 1 species
GGGUAUAGUUCAGUGGUAGAGCAUGUGCUUAGCAGGCAUGAGGUCCUGGGUGCAAUUUCCAGUACCUCCA